GUGCUUACUUCGGCAGCACAUAUACUAAAAUUGGAACGAUACAGAGAAGAUUAGCAUGGCCCCUACGCAAGGAUGACACACAAAUUCAUGAAGCAGUCCAUAUUUUU
rnacentral:snRNA from 1 species